UACGUAGGUGGCGAGCGUUAUCCGGAAUGAUUGGGCGUAAAGGGUGCGCAGGCGGUCCUGCAAGUCUGGAGUGAAACGCAUGAGCUCAACUCAUGCAUGGCUUUGGAAACUGGAGGACUGGAGAGCAGGAGAGGGCGGUGGAACUCCAUGUGUAGCGGUAAAAUGCGUAGAUAUAUGGAAGAACACCAGUGGCGAAGGCGGCCGCCUGGCCUGUUGCUGACGCUGAGGCA
rnacentral:rRNA from 1 species